UAAUAUAAUUAGUGUGUGUCCUGCUCUCUGUUCCUCCUUCCUUGUGUGGCUCCUAUAAAGCACCUGGGAUGUCUCCUGGGUGUCACACAUCUCCAGCACUCAGACAUGUCUGCAGUAACCGGCUCCUUCCUGCUACUCCUCCUCUGCUAUUUGGGCUCCGUCCCAGCAGCAGAACCAGCGCCUCUAGGUGAAAAGCCAGUGGAGUUUUACUUGCAGCUAGUGGAUAUUCUAAAGCUUCACAAGAAGAUUGUCAACAUGACUCGGACUGUGAUGGUGACCAGAUGUGCUAUUCCACUCUCUGUAGCAGGCGAUGCACAAAGCUUAUGGGAGUUUUGCCGAAGUUUGAUAAAUAGGGUCCCUGAUGUCACAUGACCCUGCGGUCCCGGACGCUCUGUACCUGCAGAUUGGGGGCACCGGGCACAGAUUAUGGAUGAUAAAUGUACAUUGAGUCACAGUAACGGCUCAUUGUAUUGUGAGUGAUGUCCAGUGUAAAUGUAAUAAAAUGAGUUCCAGUCAUCA